rnacentral:rRNA from 1 species
ACGCUCGACACCUACGGGAGGCAGCAGUGGGGAAUAUUGGGCAAUGGGCGAAAGCCUGACCCAGCAACGCCGCGUGAGGGAAGAAGGUUUUCGGAUUGUAAACCUCUGUCCUCAGGGACGAAGGACGUGACGGUACCUGAGGAGGAAGCCCCGGCUAACUACGUACCAGCAGCCGCGGUAAUCUGAGCGGGCUGGCAAGGC